GUUUGGGUGAUGACUUACCAGUUUGUCGGAUACCCCUUCACUCCUCAUGAGUGAGAACAGCAGUCUGACAAAC
rnacentral:snoRNA from 1 species